GGAGAACAGCCCCUGUUCCUCUUCCCUAGCCAGGUUCUCACACGUCCCUGAGGAACUAGAGAGGAACGCCUCUGGGAAGCCCAGCCAGAGCCAACCGGAAGGGCCUUUUGGUGAAGUCUGACAUCCUACAUUAGUUUCUCUGGACCUGGCAGAGCUCCCUGGAUAAAUCAUGAACAGAAGCAUCUAUGACCGACAGUUGCUCUGUGUCCUUCUAGCCUCGCAGGAGUUUCCAGCUCAUGAGGGCAGAGGAGAUGAAGAGAGGCCGAUCGACGUGAGGGUUGUGCAGGCGGCCCCUCUGAGGUGUGACUCCAGUAAGUACUCUGGAAUUACUUGCUGAGAAAGAAAAGUCUGGAUGCCAAGAAAGGUGUGACAUCCUUGCUGGCUUCAAUGUGAAGAGCCACCCUGAUUCUGGGAUUCUGAUAGGAAUAAGGAUGAUGCAUAUCUGAACCUGGAAACCGCUUCCCACUGUAGAGCGUGUCUGAGUCAUGUCCCUUAGCUUCAGCAGAGCAGAUCCAGCAGGCUCUGAGCUUGGCCUCUUUGCCUGGAGCGAGACCUCUAGGUAAUGUCUCCAGAGAGGGUGGCACAAAGGAUCCUGGAUCUCCUGAUCACAGCAGCCCAAGAGUGCCGUGCGUGCACCAUGGCUCAAGAAGAAGACUUAAAAAGGGGAAAGUAUGACUAUUUCUAAUCUGUAGUAUUUCAG
rnacentral:lncRNA from 1 species